rfam:Paenibacillus sp. IHBB 10380, complete genome.
ACCACAAUACAAAAGUUUCAGGUAAUGGAAGUUUGGUGCAAAUCCAACGCGGUCCCGCCACUGUGAUAGACUGGAUGUUCAGUCUUAAGUCAGGUCAUUUUCCUGGAAACUUUGAAAAACCAACCAUUUCGAGGCGAAAGUGGCUGGUUUACA